CUUCCCUUUGAUACCUGCGCGCUCCCCAGUUGCCAACCAUGAUUUUGCCAACUCCCUUGGAACAUUUCAGUGGGACAAAUCCCCCUGUUUAUUCCCUGCCACCCUCAAGAGUUUACAGCCAGAAGCUCCAUUGCUUCCAGCCUGACACUUCCCUUUGCUUCCUGCAAAUCCUUGGGCUGGUUUCAUAAGGUGCACCAAGACAUUUCACCAAGAGAGCAAACAUCUGACAAAAGUUCCCAGGGCAGAUGGAAGAAAAUGGGCAUCAGUUUGGAAUGUCUGUGCCAGGAAAUUCAUAAUAAUGCCGUCAUUCUUAAGACAACUCUGCAGCAGCAGGCUCAGACAGCUACAAAGUGGAGCACAUGCAUGGAUUUGUCAUCCUGUCUUACUCUUAAACAACAUUGGCUUCUUUGUCAAUUGUGAGGAAACAGGGGGAAAGCCCCUUGGAGAUGAGCCACACGUUUAUUUGUUCCUGAGCUCUGAUAGCACUGUUGGCUGCAACACAAUCCUUUUUUUUUAGAGGUGUCCAUAUGUCUGCAACAGGGAAUCAGGCCAGCUCACAGAAACUUCCUCUCCUCCAAGAACUGCAUACUGAGGCAAAUUCCCAGCUUAUUAAAAAAUAGUUGUGUUAUUUUGCCAUCUUGUUUGUUCUGCAAUUCCACUGUAUUCUUCCUCUCUCUCUCUCUCUCUCUCUCUCUCUCUCUUAUUUUUUUUUAAUUAUGCCGCUGGCUUUUGGAGGGGGAAAAAAAGGAAAUGGAAUAGAAAAAAAAGCCAAGAAAAUUUAAAAUAUAUCUUUAUUUUGGACUGUGUGUCAUUUCCAAACUUCUGUAGGAAUUGAUAGGAACAUCCCAAUAUUCAGAUGCUAUUUGUCCUGUGAAGAGCUGUUUGCAUGAGGAAGUACACAGAAGCUUCCAAAAAAACCCUAAAGUGUGUUAUAAAGCUUCUCUUCAGCUUCUGACAGAGUGCCUUAACUUCACUGCUGCUGAAGUCUUUUCCAAAGUAAAUGAAAUCAGAACUGGAAUGGCUAAAACUUGAGUAACACUGUCCCAGAGUUUAAUGUGGUCCAAACACUCAAUUUCAAAGUUCAGCUUAGUUGUUUUAGUUUUCCUGAAUGAUUCCUAAGACAACUUUUCAAUUCAGUGGUGUAUUUUCUUUGGUGGUUUGGUUUCUUUUUUUGCCCCAUCUUAUAACUUCCUAGAUUUUGAAGGUAAAUUUAUGUUGAGAUCCAGGAAACUGUUCCUUCAAAAUAAAGGAAAAAUGUUUUGGUCUGUGGUUUCUUUUAUGAAGACACAAAACUGACCAUAACAACAUCUUUUUAGUUAUACUUCAUCCUUCAUUAUUUUUGAAGGAAAGGAUUGGCAGAAUUCUUUAUACCCUUUCUUUGAAUGCUAUAAAAGUAUUAUAAAUUUUUUUUUCCUUAAUGUAAA